GAUGAACGCUGGCGGCGUGCCUAAUACAUGCAAGUCGAGCGAACAGACGAGGAGCUUGCUCCUCUGACGUUAGCGGCGGACGGGUGAGUAACACGUGGAUAACCUACCUAUAAGACUGGGAUAACUUCGGGAAACCGGAGCUAAUACCGGAUAAUAUAUUGAACCGCAUGGUUCAAUAGUGAAAAACGGUUUUGCUGUCACUUAUAGAUGGAUCCGCGCCGCAUUAGCUAGUUGGUAAGGUAACGGCUUACCAAGGCAACGAUGCGUAGCCGACCUGAGAGGGUGAUCGGCCACACUGGAACUGAGACACGGUCCAGACUCCUACGGGAGGCAGCAGUAGGGAAUCUUCCGCAAUGGGCGAAAGCUUGACGGAGCAACGCCGCGUGAGUGAUGAAGGUCUUCGGAUCGUAAAACUCUGUUAUGAGGGAAGAACAAAUGUGUAAGUAACUAUGCACGUCUUGACGGUACCUAAUCAGAAAGCCACGGCUAACUACGUG
rnacentral:rRNA from 1 species